rnacentral:lncRNA from 1 species
AUGCAUUGUGUUGCCAAGUUUCGUAUUUCUGGGGCGUUUAGUUGUGUUGUUAUAGUCACGAUGCGUUGUUGUGAGUUUUGUGGGUGUUGUGUGGUUUUGUGGUGUGGUUGUGUUGUUACAACUGGGAGGCAAGGCUUUUGCAUUGUGUUGCCAAGUUUUGUAUUUCUGGGGUGUUUAGUUGUGUUGUUAUCACAUGAUGUGUUGUUGUGAGUUUUGUGGGUCUGGAUUGUGGUUUUGUGGUGUGGUUGUGUUGUUGUAACCUGGAGGCAAGCCUUUUGCAUUGUGUUGCCAAAUUUCGUAUUUCUGGGAUGUUUAGUUUUGUUGUUAUAGUCACUGCGCAAACAACUUUAUCAUUUUAUAUAUAUAGAUAUCUGUAAUAGUUUUAUGCAUGAAACAAAGUAUGUGUAUACUACACAAUCAGAAAGUAUAGGUGUCACUAGCUAAACAAUUUGGACAAUUUUGGAUUUUUGGGGAAUUCAGAAUUCAUGAUAAGGGAUGUUCAACCUGUAUUUUGUUUCCAAAGGUGGUCUGAAUCCUUUCUAAGAAUUUCAGAGGUAUCUAGAUAAAAGCAGAGACUGUUUGUGCUAUUUGUUGGGGAUUGUGGAUGAUAGAUGGAAGCUCUUACAUGUGCCUGUGAGCCCAGAGACACCCUGAAGAAUGAUGCACCACUCAGCUUUGCAGAAUAAAUAACACAGGAACUUUUACUGAAUCCAAAAGAUCAACAGAACAGUGGUAUUUACAAUAGUCCCUCUGAUUGCUUACAUAAUCCUUUUCUUAGUUCAUGAGACUGCUUCAGUGAAGAUCCGCAGCAAACAAGGCCUCAGAAAUAGUUAGGCCUCUCUGAGUACAGAGCCAUCUUCUUUCCAGCUAGUACUCAGAAGACUCACAGAGAGAGGGGGGGGGCUGUUCAAACCGGUUCUCCAGCAGCUGGAUAGCAACAUUUACAAAACCAAUUCCCCAGGUCCUUGCAAACUCAGCCAAUUGGCUCCAUGCAUUUGAUUUUCCAGUUAAUAAUAAUAAUAAUAAAAUAAUAAUAAUAAUAAUAAUAAUAAUAAUAAUAAUAAUAAUAAUAAUUUUAUUCUUGUACCCCGCCCCAUCUCCCCGAAGGGACUCGGGGCGGCUCACAUGGGGCCUUGCCCAAACAUCACAAUAUAAAAACAAAACAAAAAACACAAGUUUACAACAAUAAAUCAACAC